AUUUGAGGUGACAAAUGACUGACUUUUGAUCCCAAAAUUGAAGUCUUUCGACUUUAAUGCAUCUGGCUACAAGAAAUCUGUGAUUAAUUAAAUAUGAGGAGCAUACGGUUUUUUAAUUAAAUCGUAUUCGCAGUGAUCGGCGGAAAAAGUCGCAAUUGCGACGGGACAGUAAAAUGCAAACAAUUACAUGCUUGCGAAUUUUCUUGAUCCCAGCGAACCUUUUCAAAUACAUACACGCAAGGCGCCCUAUAUUGAAAGGGGUCACAGCGAAAGUGUCCUCGACAUCGAAAUACCUACAGACAAGCGCACAAUCAAAAAGCGAGCGAUUGAACUCUGCCGUAUGGAAUGAUAGCAGUUAAUGCUCAGCAAAGGGUUGACACAAAAGGGGUCACAAAAGGGUGAAGGCAAGUGAUUGUCACAUUGUCUAAUUGAAAUUCGCAGCACCAAAAUAGUGGCAAAAGGUUUCUUCGAAGAUUAGUUCGAACGUAUUUGGAAAUUUCAAGAGAGCAUCGGUUCGCCUUAGAUGCGCGUAUGUCACAGGACAAAAUUAAAAAUGUUGAAAUGAGUUCAAUACUUAUGAUAUAUUGGGGCACAGAAGUCACACAGGUGAGACAAUUAUUGCUCGGGAAAAAUUUAAUAAUAAUUUCUUUGCGAAAAGGGUUGAUGCCAAGGAAGCGUAUAAUGGGAUUGAACUCGUUAUUGUGACCUUUGUUCGAUUUCUUUUUCUUUGUUUUUUUUUUUUGCAGUGCGAACAAUAAAUUUUUAAUUUUGA